UACGUAGGGUGCAAGCGUUGUCCGGAAUUAUUGGGCGUAAAGAGCUCGUAGGCGGUCUGUCGCGUCGGCUGUGAAAACCCGGGGCUCAACCCCGGGCCUGCAGUCGAUACGGGCAGACUAGAGUGCGGUAGGGGAGACUGGAAUUCCUGGUGUAGCGGUGAAAUGCGCAGAUAUCAGGAGGAACACCGGUGGCGAAGGCGGGUCUCUGGGCUGUAACUGACGCUGAGGAGCGAAAGCGUGGGGAGCGAACAGG
rnacentral:rRNA from 1 species